rnacentral:rRNA from 1 species
CGAACGGGUGAGUAAUGCGUGACCAACCUGCCCCAUGCUCCAGAAUAGCUCUUGGAAACGGGUGGUAAUGCUGAUGCUCCAACUUGACGCAUGUCUUGUUGGGAAAGUGUUUAGUGGCAUGGGAUGGGGUCGCUUCCUAUCAGCUUGUAGGCGGGGUAAUGGCCCACCUAGGCUUCGACGGGUAGCCGGCCUGAGAGGGCGGACGGCCACAUUGGGACUGAGAUACGGCCCAGACUCCUACGGGAGGCAGCAGCC